AAGCAGGUGGUCUUCCCGGCGACGGUGGCCUCCGCCGAUCUCCUGCCUCUGCACUCGGCCUGGAGUGACACUGCAGCUUUCUGGGUCUCCGCCUUGCCACAUGCAGAUCUCAGGACUUCUCGGCCUCCACCAUCUGGUGACAGGUGUUCGCUCUGUGUCCUUGUAGUCCCUGGCUCCCCGGGGUGCUGUGUGCUGGCUUCCCGCGGCAGGUGCCAGGCCUGCUGGUGGUCACAGGGGAGCACACAGGGGCAGUCCGGCAGGUGGGGGUCCCGAGCCUGCGCCAUCCCUGAGCAGCUGUGUGGCAGCUAGAGCGCCUUCCCCCUUCCCAGGACCCGCAGAGGACACUCUCAGGGAAGCUGAGGAGUGGGGGGUGGGGGGUGGGGGCGGUGCGGGGGGUGGGGCAGGCCGGCUCCCACCUGCCAGGGGCAGGAGCCUUCGGCGGCAUCAGAAGGGCCUUGGGUGGGGAGCUGGCUGCUGUGCUCGGGCCCCUCUGAGACAAUCCCGGCCCGAGAGAGUGUGCAAGGCUGGGGCUCUGUCGGCAGCUCACCGAGGGUCUCCCCUCUUUCAGAAGCUCCAGGCCCCCUUUGUCUGAACAGCCCCGUUACAGGAAAAAGCUGAGCCUACGCGAUGUCCCUUGGUGUCAGGGGACAGGACAAAAAGCAAAGACCCGGAGGGUAGAUAUGGAGUCCCGUGCCGGCCACGCAGGUUCCCCUAACGGCCCCAUCUUCCUGAAGCCCUGCUGCUGCGCGCUGUGGAGACCCUGCCCCGUCCCUGGAGGUGGCUCCAGGACACAGCUUAGAGCCAAUACCCGCAGGGUGGGUGUGACUAGCCCACUAAGGACUCCACGGGGACUUGCAAGGUUUGCUGCGGGGGUGGGGGGUGUCCAUUCGCCUGGGCACUGCCCAAGGCCAGCCUCCGGUGUACGUUCCCUUGUUCAUUAAACCUGCCGCCCACCGGCCUGGAGCGUCCUGCCCCUUUCUUCUGCCUCUCCCGCCCUCCACAUUUGGGGCGGUUUCAGAUUUCAGCAGGGAGGCCAACCGCCACCACUGGGGAGGGACACAGGCACUUGUUUAUUCUGCCGUUUUAUCCCUCGUGUGGUCCCUGGGACCACCCUGCCAUCAGGACACGGGCUGCUCCACCCCACAGAGACCCGUCUUGCUGCCCCUUCUUGCCCCCGAUCCCUCACCUCUGCGAACCACUCGGCGGUUCUCCACCUCCAUAAUUCUGUCAUUUGAAGAUUAUUAGAUGCCCCCAAGGAGGCUGACAAGCUCCAAACCCUUUUACUAACACCCAAGAGAGUCUAAUAAAUGAGAAACUGACGGCCGCUCAGGACCGUUCUCUGCGUCAGGGGCAGCUCAGACCACGCCUGUGGGAAUCCCACCAGCCUCAGAGUCGUCCUGCCGUGCCGGGCCCCCGCGGCCUAGAAGGGUUACAGAAGUGCCGAGUGCGGGAGAGAGCCUUAAUCUGCGCCUGCGCCGGGCUCCGGGCGCCCUUCCUGGUUCGGGCCAAGGUCACGGACCCUCUGUUCAGCUGCAGGCCCUCGAGGAGCACCAGCGCCAGCCCGA